rnacentral:rRNA from 1 species
AGAGUUUGAUCAUGGCUCAGGACGAACGCUGGCGGCGUGCCUAACACAUGCAAGUCGAGCGGAGCAGUAGCAAUACUGCUUAGCGGCGGACGGGUGAGUAACGCGUGGGCAACCUGCCUUUCACAGGGGGAUAACACAGGGAAACUUGUGCUAAUACCGCAUGAAAUCAUGGAAGGACAUCCUUUUAUGAUCAAAGGAGU